AGUGAACGCUGGCGGUAGGCCUAACACAUGCAAGUCGAACGGCAGCACAGUAAGAGCUUGCUCUUACGGGUGGCGAGUGGCGGACGGGUGAGGAAUACAUCGGAAUCUACUUUUUCGUGGGGGUUAACGUAGGGAAACUUACUCUAAUACCGCAUAUGCCCUUUGGUUGAAAGCAUGGGAACUUCUGACCUUUCGCGAAUGAAUUCGCGGAUGUCGGAUUAGCUAGUUGGCGGGUUAAAGGCCCACCCAGGCGCCGAUCCGUAGCUGGACGGAGAGGCCGGUCAGCCACACUGGAGCGGAGACACGGUCCAGACUCCUACGGGAGGCAGCAGUGGGGAAUAUUGGACAAUGGGCGCAAGCCUGAUCCAGCCAUACCGCGUGGGUGGAGGAGGCCUUCGGGUUGUAAAGCCCUUUUGUUGGGAGAGAAAAGCAGCAGGUUAAUACCACGCUGUUCUGACGGUACCCAAAGAAUAAGCACCGGCUAACUUCGUG
rnacentral:rRNA from 1 species